CCUAAAGCCAAAGCAGCUCGUUUUUAGGGGAUUAUAUCAGCAACAAAUUUCUCACAUGGAAAACCCACGUCUCGCUGCAGGGAGGUCAGAGGAGCUGGCAGGUAACGAAGCGGCACCGACUGCUUUGACAGACAGCAGAAACACUGCCUCUAUAUAGACAACACUUCACGCUUCAAAGGUGUGAGAUCAUCCUGAGACCUGAUCCAACUCUGACUCCAGUCCGCACAGACGUGCGGGAGCGGCAGGGAGGACACGCACAUCCCCACCAUCACCUUAACGCACCGUGAUCAGCAGACAGUAAUCUCAGAGAAAACCAGGACCUGGGGCUGCCAGCGCAGGGAGAUGGACUCCUGCGGGCUCCUCGGGGCGACGGAGGCCCCGAGCAAACGCUGCUGAGUCAGGAGAGGGUCAAGCCGCUGCAACGCCGCAACAAAAUCACAGCAUUUUCAUUCUGUUAACAGUUAUUCAGCUUUGCAAAUGAGGACUCAGCAGCUGAGACCGUCACCAAACAUGACUGAAGGGUCAGAAUACUGUCAUCGCUCUCUGACACUGUUCACACAUUCAAACAGCUGCUUUAUCUGAACAUUGGCACAAUUCAUUUCUACAGUUUUACAGCAAAAACCAUUCAAUUCUAUUUGAUCGACUAAAUAUAAAAUAUAAUUAAUUAAAUAUAGUAAAUACAUAAGUAAAGCAAGUAAAUAAUUAAAUAUAGCAAAAUAAUUGGUGUGGUAGAAGAGUAACUGGUCAAUUAAGAGGCCGAUCCAAACUACCAGUAAUUUAAUUGGUGACACAUUUUCCAACUGAUUAAUUGUUUCAGCAAUUUUCUAUUUACCAUAGUAAAUUAUUUUUUGCCAGGUUAGAAUUCUCUAUUUUCUUUUGUUAUAUCUAUAAAUACACACAUUUCUUUUCCUCUUGAAUUAAAUUUAUUUUUCUUUUAUUCGUAUAUACCACAUCACUUAAUUAAACAUCAGUAUAAUUGUAUUCAUCAGGAAAAAAUAAAGAGUUGGAGCCAGAUGUGAAAUCUUAAAAUUGUAGAAGAAAUAUGGAUUAAUAAUUUAAGAAGCCAUUAUCCAUGGCACCGAGGCAGUGGACUUUUAGCUAAUCAUUUGGAGGGAUUUCUUUUUAAACAGCCAGGUCAACUUACAUUACGAAUGUGUCUGUUUAAACCAUAUUUUUGAAGCUUAAUGCUUUUUAUUUCUGCUUGAGUGAUAUCUGAGCUGCAUUCCUGGUGAGUCACCUGCUGCUGUGAGAUCUGAGGAAGGGGCUGCUGCUGUUUCGCUGUUUGGGAAAAUGAUGUCAAGAAAUCAAACUGAAAUCAGACGUAAGAAUGAGGCUUCCCUGACGUCCUGCAGGACUCCACCUCUCCCCCUCUGGCCCUGCAGCGAGUGCUGGAUCUGCUCCACCACCCCCUGCUCCUGCAGCAGUUUCUUCCUCUGGAGCAGCGAGUGGAUCCGCUCUUGCUCCUCCGAGUCAGCCUCCUUCCCUUCCUCCUCCUCCCUCUCACACUGCUCCUCCUCCUCUUGGACCUCACCAGCCUCUGUAUCCACCGGCACGUCGGACUGAGGGGACUGCGGAGGAAAAGAAAUAGUUCAUUCAAUUUCUUUUUAUUGCCCUUCUGUAUAUUUAACAUUUAGAAUAUAUUAGCGGCUACACUCACCGAAUUACCCUGAUAACACUGUUUGUUUUCCCCACCUUGACAGUCAAAGAUAUUCUAAUAUGAAAUGAGAGACACCGAAUAAAAUUAUCUAGGAAUAACCUUCUAUGUAAUUCAAAUUGGGUAUAAGUGCAGUGACUCUCAGGGGUCAGCCAGGAGAUGUGCCAUCCGUCUCAGGAUGGAGCUGUGAGACUCCCUCCUGUGGCUUCAUGUGAACACUGCAGCUGGGCAGUACCUUCAGAGGCAGCAGCACCGGCGGAGGGUCACGGCGAGGCCGAGCAGCUCGGAGGGGUCUGACUCUCUCCCCCGCCGUCUCCCCCUGCAAGUCUCUCCUCCGACCUCCCU